CCACGUGGGUAUGUCAGGGUUCCCUAAGAGCUUCUUAAGGACUCCGGGCAGUGCUUACACCCAAAUAUAUACCAUAUUAAGCGAAAGUGCAGUGAGGAAGGGCCAUCCCUCAGGUGUCCAAUUUCAUAGGGAACCCAAGGUCCCCAAGACAAGGCUCACAAGAGGGGGGCAUCACUUAGGAACUAAGAGGGGGAGUGCAAGUGCAGAAUUCCAAGAGGGAAAAGGGAAAGGUAAAAAGUACAUAUAGGGAUAUAAGGGAUGGGUAAUUACAAGAGAUAAAUGCAGGCUAAUGGGCAUAACCCAACAAUGAGAGAUGCUGGCACACCCAUAAGCCUACUAGAACAUAUUGUUUAGAGGUUUGGAUCCACUAAGGGAUCAAGUUUAAUCCAUAGACAAUAACUUGCAUAUUGCCAUGUUUUAAACUGUAACUCAGAACACGUAAAGGGAAUAUAGAAGAGGAGUUCAUAACAAUCCCCUAAUAGUUCAAGUUUAAUCCCUAGACAAUAACUUGCAUAUUGACAUGUUUUAAACUAUAACUCAAAACACAUAAAGGGAGUAGGGAAGAGGAGUUCAUAACAGAAACAAACAAACGAAAUCAACAUGCUAGUUUAAGUAUUCAAAUCUGCAGAAGUAGUAGAGAGACAGAGAUGUAAAAAGCUGUAAGUAAACACAUUGUGGUGAUGAUGUUAAUUAGAAUUAGGGCGUACCAGUUUCAAGGAAACAAAUAGGAAAAGCAGUAUUCUUGUGAAAGUUAUAAUGCAGACAAGAAAAGAGAGUUCUCUUAUGUGAGAGUAAUUGUUCAGCAGAAUUGUGAAUUGUAGUAGUGGGGGAUUAUUAAAAUCGUGUGUAGUGUGAAAGAAAAAAGCCAUGUAUUUAUAAUGUGAAAGUCAUGAGAAAAUAAGGUAAGAAAAUAAUUGAAGACUAACUGUAAAUCAAUUACAUAAGACUCCCUUUAAUUAAGGGAUUCAGAUUCAGA
rnacentral:lncRNA from 1 species